UACGUAGGGUGCGAGCGUUAAUCGGAAUUACUGGGCGUAAAGCGUGCGUAGGCGGUUCGUUAAGUCAGCUGUGAAAUCCCCGGGCUCAACCUGGGAACUGCAUUUGUGACUGCAUGGCUAGAGUACGGUAGAGGGGGAUGGAAUUCCGCGUGUAGCAGUGAAAUGCGUAGAUAUGCGGAGGAACACCGAUGGCGAAGGCAAUCCCCUGGACCUGUACUGACGCUCAUGCACGAAAGCGUGGGGAGCAAACAGG
rnacentral:rRNA from 1 species